rnacentral:rRNA from 1 species
GAUGAACGCUGGCGGCGUGCCUAACACAUGCAAGUCGAACGGAAGUAAGUGCUUCGGUAUUUACUUUAGUGGCGAACGGGUGAGUAACGCGUGAGGAACCUGCCUUUCAGUGGGGGACAACAGUUGGAAACGACUGCUAAUACCGCAUGACGCUUCUUAGGGGCAUCCCUGAGAAGUCAAAGCUUUAUGUGCUGAAAGAUGGCCUCGCGUCUGAUUAGCUAGUUGGUGGGGUAACGGCCCACCAAGGCGACGAUCAGUAGCCGGUCUGAGAGGAUGAACGGCCACAUUGGGACUGAGAUACGGCCCAG